rnacentral:rRNA from 1 species
CGGGGGGGCAAGCGUUGUUCGGAAUUACUGGGCGUAAAGGGCUCGUAGGCGGCCAACUAAGUCAGACGUGAAAUCCCUCGGCUUAACCGGGGAACUGCGUCUGAUACUGGAUGGCUUGAGAUUGGGAGAGGGAUGCGGAAUUCCAGGUGUAGCGGUGAAAUGCGUAGAUAUCUGGAGGAACACCGGUGGCGAAGGCGGCAUCCUGGACCAACACUGACGCUGAGGAGCGAAAGCCAGGGGAGCAAACGGGAUUAGAUACCCCGGUAGUCCUGGCCCUAAACGAUGAAUGCUUGGUGUGACGGGUAUCGAUCCCUGUCGUGCCGAAGCUAACGCAAUAAGCAUUCCGCCUGGGGAGUACGGUCGCAAGGCUG